rnacentral:rRNA from 1 species
GUUGGUGACACGAGCGGCUAGGCCCCACCUCUUCCCAUUCCGAACAGAGAAGUGAAACUAGCCAGCGCCGAUGAUACUUGGACCCAAUCCGGUCCUGGGAAAGUAGGCCGUUGCCAGCA